UACGUAGGGGGCAAGCGUUGUCCGGAUUUAUUGGGCGUAAAGAGCGUGUAGGCGGCCCGACAGGUCCGUUGUGAAAACUGGAGGCUUAACCUUCAGACGUCGGUGGAAACCGUCUGGCUAGAGUCCGGAAGAGGAGAGUGGAAUUCCUGGUGUAGCGGUGAAAUGCGCAGAUAUCAGGAAGAACACCCGUGGCUAAGGCGGCUCGCUAGGACGGUACUGACGCUGAGACGCGAAAGCGUGGGGAGCGAACAGG
rnacentral:rRNA from 1 species